UGUUGCCGCAGCUUCUUCCGGCUAGCUAGGGGACGCCGAGGCUGCGGAGCGCACGGCUGGGCUCCGUCAGAGGGCCGCGCCCGCGCGACGACCGCGUGCCCGCUAGUGGAAGGCGGGCGAGGACCCCUGGGGGUGUGGGAGGAGGGGACGCCUUAGGCUGUUUUGUAAAAUGUGUCGGUGUGACCCCUCCGGCGGUUGCUCCUGAUUCUGGACGUGGUAUUGAGCCUGAGCUAUAUCCUCGUUUCUGCUGGAAACGCUGACUCUGCCUCUUAGCCCCUGGGUUGAAGCCAACUAGAAAAUCUCAGACGUGCUUAACCGAUUAAGAAGAAAAUGAGGUCACAGAUAAAUAUCGUGCCAAAACGACGUGGACUUGGAACUGACCUCCAGGCACGAUGUCAUUAUUUAACUCGAGAAAUCACAGCUUCUGCGUCUUACCAGUCUGCCAAUAUUCACAGCCAAGAGGCUCAACUUAACACCCUGGUAGAAAAAGAGAAGCCUUUAAUAUUGCUUGAAUAGGGAAGGAGAGAGAAUAAUGGAACUAACCUUGCUGGGAGGGAAAAAAAAAACAACAACUGAACACUGAAUGAAGCCUCUGAAGCAGUGAAUGGAGUGCUUUUUGGAAAGUACUUCUAGAUCUCUUGAAAAGCAGCACAAAAUUAAAUAUUAUUUGCAAAUGAGUUAAUGAAUAGGAAAAUGUUUUGUAAAGUAUAAUGCAUUAUAUAAUGUAAUACGUUAUUUCUAUCCCAAAUAUAUUUGGUUUUUUAUUA